GACGAACGCUGGCGGCGUGCUUAACACAUGCAAGUCGAACGAUGAAGCUGGAGCUUGCUCUGGUGGAUUAGUGGCGAACGGGUGAGUAACACGUGAGUAACCUGCCCUGGACUCUGGGAUAACCCCGAGAAAUCGGAGCUAAUACCGGAUAGGACCUUGCACCGCAUGGUGUGGGGUGGAAAGGUUUUCGGUCUGGGAUGGACUCGCGGCCUAUCAGCUUGUUGGUGAGGUAAUGGCUCACCAAGGCGUCGACGGGUAGCCGGCCUGAGAGGGUGACCGGCCACACUGGGACUGAGACACGGCCCAGACUCCUACGGGAGGCAGCAGUGGGGAAUAUUGCACAAUGGGCGCAUGCCUGAUGCAGCAACGCCGCGUGCGGGAUGACGGCCUUCGGGUUGUAAACCGCUUUUAGUAAGGAAGAAGGGGCUUCGGCCUUGACGGUACUUGCAGAAAAAGGACCGGCUAACUACGUGCCAGCCGCCGCCGUAACAC
rnacentral:rRNA from 1 species